CGGGAUGUAGCUCAGCUUGGUUAGAGCGUUUGCUUCGGGAGCAAAAGGCCGUGCGUUCAAAUCGCAUCAUCCCGACCA
rnacentral:tRNA from 1 species